rnacentral:rRNA from 1 species
AGUGAACGCUGGCGGUAGGCCUAACACAUGCAAGUCGAACGGCAGCACAGUAAGAGCUUGCUCUUACGGGUGGCGAGUGGCGGACGGGUGAGGAAUACAUCGGAAUCUACUUUUUCGUGGGGGAUAACGUAGGGAAACUUACGCUAAUCCCCCAUACGCCCUCCGGGUGAAAGCAGGGGUUCUUCGGCCCUUGCGCGAUUGAAUGAGCCGAUGUCGGAUUAGCUAGUUGGCGGGGUAAAGGCCCACCAAGGCGACGAUCCGUAGCUGGUCUGAGAGGAUGAUCAGCCACACUGGAACUGAGACACGGUCCAGACUCCUACGGGAGGCAGCAGUGGGGAAUAUUGGACAAUGGGCGCAAGCCUGAUCCAGCCAUACCGCGUGGGUGAAGAAGGCCUUCGGGUUGUAAAGCCCUUUUGUUGGGAAAGAAAAGCAGCAGGUUAAUACCCCGCUGUUCUGACGGUACCCAAAGAAUAAGCACCGGCUAACUUCGUG